CGCCAUCCACAGGGGUGCUCCGUAUCGCCGGGGCUGAGAGAUGGGCUGCAAGCCCGUAAACCCUAGAGCUGAUCUGGAUAAUACCAGCGGAGCGAGGCGGGCAAUGUUUUCUG
rnacentral:ncRNA from 1 species